rnacentral:rRNA from 1 species
CAAUAGCGUAUAUUAAAGCUGUUGCGGUUAAAAAGCUCGUAGUUGGAUUUCUGUCAAGGACAACUGGUCCGCCCCUCGGGUGAGCACAUAGUUUGGUCUUGGCAUCUUGUUGGAAACUGUUGCUGCACUUGGUUGUGUGGCGCAGUGUCCAGCACUUUCACUUUGAGGAAAUUGGAGUGUUUCAAGCAGGCACAUGCCUUUGGACACAGUAGCAUGGAAUAAUUAGAUUGGGCUUUUGCUCCAACUUGUCGGUCUCUGGAGCUGAGGUGAGAAUUAAUGGGGAUUGUUGGGGGCAUCCGAAUUUAGCCGUCAGAGGUGAAAUUCUUGGAUCUGCUAAAGACGGACAACUGCGAAAGCGUUUGCCCAGGAUGUUUUCAUUGA